GUUACUGUUUUUUUUUAAAAAAAAUAUAUAUAUAUGUGUAUUUUUAAACUUAGGUCAGGGAGCUUAAGUGAAAAUAAUUGUAGAGAGUUUUUGUGACUACUGAAAAAUCUUUCCUCUCAGUGCCUUCCUCUGUUCUCAUUCCAAAAUAGAUGACUGUUUUAAUCAAAUGACUUGGGGACUGUGAGUGAGAAGCUGUCUGCAAUCAGUCUCAUGUUAUGGUCUUUGCAAAUCUCUGUACCAACCAAAGUGGUAUUUACAGUUUAACAAUUUCCAACAUAGUUGUGUUUGGUUGCUAAUGGCGAAGAGACUCAUACUUAUAAAGCAAAUUCAGAGAUGAUUAUUAUAUUAUUAUAGUUUAUAAAAUAAUUCUUUCAAAAUAGUUAAACUAUUUUUGGAAUGAAGACAUGAUUGUUAAUAGUAGGAUCAUAUGUAUAGUGGUUGAUAUUUGGAAGGCAAAAGUGGCCUAGAACUUGCGUGCUAUGCCCAUGACCUUGUCAAGUUAGUGGUUGCUCUUUUUAAAAAAGAAAAACAGUUUACAAGUAUACUGUUGAACUUUAGGGGGAAAAUAGUGUUUACUUGUGAGCUUAUGGAAUCAGGAAAUCUGGUUUAAAACUCUUAGGAGAAUGUUUUCUGAUAAAUUCAAUUGGCUUCCAGGAAGUCAGUGAAAAAUGUAUUAUUAUAGGUAAAAUGUGACAGGAAAAUUAUUUAAUUUUGUAAUAAUGACUGACUACUUCCUUAUCAGGGCUCUUAAACCUAAUUAACAUUUUACCAAGUGAGGAAAUAAAUAAUUUUUAACUGCAGAGAUAAUGGAAAUGGAAUAGUCAGUAUCUACCACUUUCAAAAAAGAUUUUUAUCAUGUGGUCAAUAUCCUUAUGCUAUAGUUUCAGUAGUUAUUAAAAAUUAUCUAGAAGAUCUUAAAUAUGGUCUUUUUCAUGAAGAAAAAUAGCUACCUACAUAUGUUUUGGUAGUAUACAUUGUUUUCUAAUCGUGAAAUGUAAAAUCUUAGGUAAUAUUUAAAAAGUCUAAGAAUAAGUAUAUAUUUUAAGAAUCAUAACGUGUUACCUGCUUCUACUUCUGUUGAAUGCUUUUCUAAUUCCAUAGCAGUGAUAGAGGGAUGAUAAUUCUGAUGAGCUCAAAGGUAGGUAAGCUCUGCAGUGUGGGAAGUUCUGCUUAAAAUCCAUAAGAAAGAAAAAGAAAUGAGUGCAUGUCCUUAGUUUCUCGUAAUCAUUGUAUUUAUUUCAGGAGAUCUAUCUGGGCAAAGAAACUGUAGGCUUUGAAAGUCUUCUUUUUUUCUUAAGUUGAUGAUUUCUAAUGGGGCUUGAACGUACUUCCCUCUAAAACCAAAUUGUUUUUGAAACUGCAGCUUUUAUUUGACAAAGCUAUAGACCAGGUGAACCAUGUUUGUUGACUAUUAAUUUCAAGGGUGCAGUGUGCAAAGAUAGCCUGGGGCCUCUUUCAGGAGCUGUUGUGUAUAAAACAGUUAAGGAAAAUCAGUAUCUGGCCCCAGCCUUCAGUGAAAUUAAUUUACUGUCAAAGUGAAACUGGGAGGUUACGUAGCUUCAACCUUAAUAAGAAGUAUGCAGAACAACUUGUUUCAGUGGAAACUCCUUGUCUCUCAAAGCAAGGUGUGCCUCAGUCCUCAGAGUGAGUGAGAAUACUUCAGUGAGAACUCUGACUUAAGAACUUUCCUCCUGAUAAUUCUGUCUUGUUGGGCCAAAGAACAAAGGGCUGGCCUUGAUUCAGCCUCAGUGGGGGCACCAGAGCCUUUCAGAUGGAAUCUGGCAAGUACUUUUCAGGACGCUUAUGCCCUCAGAUUGUUACUAAAGGAAACAGAUGGAAAGGAAAGCAAAUAAUGGCUUACUGAAUAGGAAUGCAUUUGUUAGUUUUUAGUUUUGGUUAUAUAAUAUGGAGACUACUGCAGGUCAAAAGUCUUGUUCUGUCAUUAUUGUAGAUUAAAGGACUUGGUACUGGUUUGAUCAGUGGAUCACAGUUUGAGGUAGUCUUAGCUUCCCUGGACAGCUUUGACAACAUCUGAGACACUUUUUGGUUGUUCUAGCUGGGAUGGAGGUGCACAGUCAUCUCUAGUGGAUUAGGAGUGAUGCUAAACACUCAUGAAUGCCUAGGAAAUACCCUACAAUGAAGAAUUUUCCUACUCCAAAGAGUAGUAAGUGGUGUUGUUGAGAAACUCUAGAAAAGACUUAGAAUUCCUUAAUUUUCCUUCGUUGCCAACAACAUAGCCACUUGGACAUGAAGGAUACUGACUGUGGAAGAUGUUUGACUCAUUGUUCCACCAUAGCUUCAGAUUUACUAUCAUAACACUGCAUUUCCGUGUUAGCUUAUUUAAGUGAAGCUCAUUGUAUUAAUUUGAGAAUGUGGAUGAAUAAGCAUUUUGUGAUUAUUUUGCUCGUUAUAUGUAUGCUUGAUUUAGCAGAAAUAUAGCAAACCACCUGAUUGCGCAUGCCUGUGUGUGUGUGUGUGUGUGUGUGUGUGUGUGUGUGUGUGUGUAUACACGUACAUUCCUGGGGCUUGAAUUCAGGG